CCUCUGAACCCUGACCCCUGUUUUCACUAGAGACCUAGUUUGACCUCUGAACCCUAACCCCUGUUUUCAGUAGAUACGUAGUUUGACCUCUGAACCCUAACCCCUGUUUUCACUAAAAACCUAGUUUGACCCUAAAACUCCAGAUGGUACUGAGGCCAGAAACUAAAAACAGACAUAUAUGGCCCAUGAACAACAGACUUUGGUGUUUAUAUGGACAAAAGACAGUACCAUAAUAGAGUGCCAAUGCCAAGUACAGGAGAGUGCCAAAAGAGGGACUUGAGCCAAUAACCUGGUUCAGCCAAAAGAGGGACUUGAGCCAAUAACCUGGUUCAGCCAAAAGAGGAAAUUGAACCAAUAACCUGGUCCAGCCAAAAGGACUUGAACCAAUAAGCUGGUUCAGCCAAAAGGACUUGAACCAAUAACCUGGUCCAGCCAAAAGGACUUGAACCAAUAAGCUGGUUCAGCCAAAAGGACUUGAACCAAUAAGCUGGUUCAGCCAAAAGGACUUGAACCAAUAACCUGGUUCAGCCAAAAGGACUUGAACCAAUAACCUGGUCCAGCCAAAAGGACUUGAACCAAUAACCUGUUCAGCCAAAAGGACUUGAACCAAUAACAAGGUCCAGCCAAAAGAGGGAGUUGAACUAAUAACCAGCUAAUGAACAGUGACUCCCUCUCAAUUCCUGAUUACUACUGAACUCUGAUGAAGAUGAUGGUAAUGAUGAUGAUGAUGAUGGUAAUGGUGAUAAUGAUGAUGAUGAUGAUGGUGAUGAUGAUGGUAAUGAUGAUGAUGGUGAUGGUAAUGAUGAUGGUGAUGAUGGUAAUGAUGAUGAUGAUGAUGGUGAUGAUGAUGGUAAUGAUGAUGACGAUGAUGAUGAUGAUGAUGGUGAUGAUGAUGAUGAUGAUGAUGAUGAUGCUGAUGGUAAUGAUGAUGGUGAUGAUGAUGAUGAUGGUAAUGAUGAUGGUGAUGGUAAUGAUGAUGGUGAUGAUGAUGGUAAUGAUGAUGUAAUGAUGAUGGUGAUGAUGAUGGUAAUGAUGAUGAUGAUGGUAAUGAUGAUGAUUAUGAUGAUGAUGAUGGUGAUGAUGGUGAUGAUGGUGAUGGUGAUGAUGAUAUAUGAUGAUGAUGAUGGUAAUGAUGAUGAUGAUGAUGAUGGUGAUGACGAUGAUGGUAAUGAUGAUGGUAAUGAUGAAGGUGAUGUAUGAUGAUGAUAUGUUUACUGUGCUCUACAAGCAGGACUAGUAGGGACAUGCAUGCUUAUCCCUGCACCAUAUUUCUGUUCUGACCCAGUUGUUAUUGCCACUGAAGACUCCAGUCACUCAGUCAGUCUCACAGGGGGCCAUGAUGUAUAGGUCAAUAUUACACAUUGAUUUAUUAUAUUGAUACUGAUCACUUUUAUAUUAUCUACCAAGCUGUGUUAGCACUGGUGAUGCUACUACCGCUUCAAUGCACUGGAUUUAAUGUAUAUACAUCACUAAGAGGACAGAGAGAGGACAGAGAGAGGACAGAGAGGAGAGGAGAGGAGAGACAGAGAGGAGAGAGAGGAGAGAGAGAGAGGACAGAGAGAGAGGAGAGAGAGAGAGAGGAGAGGAGAGAGGAGAGACAGAGAGGAGAGAGAGAGAGAGACAGAGAGGAGAGAGAAGAGACAGAGAGGAGAGAGAAGAGAGAGAGGAGAGAGAGGAGAGACAGAGAGGAGAGAGAGAGAGAGAGAGGAGAGAGGACAGAGAGAGGAGAGAGAGAGAGACAGACAGACAGACAGAGACAGUGAGAGAUAAUGUGUGUGUGUACAUAAUCAGUCAGGGCUAGGUUACUGUGUGUGUGUGUGUGUGUGUGUGUGUGUGUGUGUGUGUGUGUGUGUGUGUGUGUGUGUGUGUGUGUGUGUGUGUGUGUGUGUGUGUGUGUGUGUGUGUGUGUGUGUGUGUGUGUGUGUGGGCGUGCGUGCGUGUGUGUGUGUGUGUAUAUAUAGGGUUAGAUUGAGGAUGUGGUUCUUGUUGCACACAGAGGACUUCAGCACAAGCAGCAGCCUCUACACAGACAUAGAUAUACACUACACUAGAUCAACACGGCUGUUUUCUAUCAUUCUUAUCUCUAUUAAAACCAAC
rnacentral:lncRNA from 1 species